CAGAGGGGGCAAGCGUUGUUCGGAAUUACUGGGCGUAAAGGGCGCGUAGGCGGCCUGCUAAGUCGAACGUGAAAUCCCUGGGCUCAACCCAGGAACUGCGUCCGAUACUGGUUGGCUUGAAUCCGGGAGAGGGAUGUGGAAUUCCAGGUGUAGCGGUGAAAUGCGUAGAUAUCUGGAGGAACACCGGUGGCGAAGGCGACAUCCUGGACCGGUAUUGACGCUGAGGCGCGAAAGCCAGGGGAGCAGACGGGAUUAGAUACCCCGGUAGUCCUGGCCCUAAACGAUGAAUGCUUGGUGUGGCGGGUAUCGAUCCCUGCCGUGCCGAAGCUAACGCAUUAAGCAUUCCGCCUGGGGAGUACGGUCGCAAGGCUG
rnacentral:rRNA from 1 species